AUUGAACGCUGGCGGCAUGCCUUACACAUGCAAGUCGAACGGUAACAGGUUAAGCUGACGAGUGGCGAACGGGUGAGUAAUGUAUCGGAACGUGCCCAGUCGUGGGGGAUAACUGCUCGAAAGAGCAGCUAAUACCGCAUACGACCUGAGGGUGAAGGCGGGGGAUCGCAAGACCUCGCGCGAUUGGAGCGGCCGAUAUCAGAUUAGGUAGUUGGGGAGGUAAAGGCUCACCAAGCCGACGAUCUGUAGCUGGUCUGAGAGGACGACCAGCCACACUGGGACUGAGACACGGCCCAGACUCCUACGGGAGGCAGCAGUGGGGAAUUUUGGACAAUGGGCGCAAGCCUGAUCCAGCCAUGCCGCGUGCGGGAAGAAGGCCUUCGGGUUGUAAACCGCUUUUGUCAGGGAAGAAAAGGUUCUGGCUAAUACCUGGGACUCAUGACGGUACCUGAAGAAUAAGCACCGGCUAACUACGUG
rnacentral:rRNA from 1 species